UAUGGAGGGUGCAAGCGUUACUCGGAAUCACUGGGCGUAAAGGGUGCGUAGGCUGGCUUCUAAGUCAGAUGUGAAAUCCAAUGGCUUAACCAUUGAACUGCAUUUGAAACUGGGAGCCUAGAGUUCAGAAGGGGCAGAUGGAAUUAGUGGUGUAGGGGUAAAAUCCGCAGAUAUCACUAGGAAUAUCAAAAGCGAAGGCGAUCUGCUGGGAUGAUACUGACGCUGAGGCACGAAAGCGUGGGGAGCAAACAGG
rnacentral:rRNA from 1 species